rnacentral:misc_RNA from 1 species
AAAGUCGUAACAAGGUUUCCGUAGGUGAACCUGCGGAAGGAUCAUUACUAGUAGGGGGGGUUAUAAUGACCUUCACAUUCGCGCUUGUCUUGUUUCACAGAGUAAAAACUUGAACUUUAAUGACAACUUUUAACAAUGGAUCUCUGGGCUCUU